CUUGUAUAGGUUUAAGAAAGAUUUUUGUUUGUAUAUCAUCACUAUUAUUUGGUGCAAGGCUUGUGUUUAUCCAUGCAACUAAAGAAUUUGAAAUGACACAAAAUAAUAUAUCAAUUCACAAGAAUUUGGUUUUAUUGAAGUCAGGUAGGUUCUCAAUCCUACUCUGCUAUGUUAUCAUUCCCAUAAAAUUGGUGCAUGGCUUGUGUUUGUGCAUAUAAUCCAAUUCCAAGUAUUUGAGAUGACAAAAAACAAUGGAAGGUUUUCAUAGAGGACUACACAAAAUUUGAUAUUACAUGCCCCCGCCUUGUGGAAAAUUCGCCAUGAAAGAGACCUGAGAUGGCCUGCUUCAUAUGUUUCAGACAAGCUCUUAGCAUAUCAAAUAUUUUGUUCUUCUUUCUAUAAGAAAAGUUGUAGUUAUUAAUUCUUGGAAGAUGCUGCAACUUUAUCUGGAUAUGCUACUGCCACAUUGUUGAUCCAACUGUAGAAUCUGACUGAUACAUCAAUUGGAGAAAUGAGAAGCAGUUGAUAGAAGCAUAUUGCAUAAGGCAUGUAAAAAAGUUGCGAGCUUAGAUACAAGAUA
rnacentral:lncRNA from 1 species